rnacentral:rRNA from 1 species
UGGGGAAUAUUGGACAAUGGGGGGAACCCUGAUCCAGCCAUGCCGCGUGUGUGAAGAAGGCCUUAUGGUUGUAAAGCACUUUAAGCGAGGAGGAGGGUACUGGUAUUAAUACUACCAGGUACUGGACGUUACUCGCAGAAUAAGCACCGGCUAACUCUGUGCCAGCAGCCGCGGUAAUACAGAGGGUGCGAGCGUUAAUCGGAUUUACUGGGCGUAAAGCGUGCGUAGGCGGCUAAUUGAGUCGGAUGUGAAAUCCCCGAGCUUAACUUGGGAAUUGCAUUCGAUACUGGUUAGCUAGAGUGUGGGAGAGGAUGGUAGAAUUCCAUGUGUAGCGGUGAAAUGCGUAGAGAUCUGGAGGAAUACCGAUGGCGAAGGCAGCCAUCUGGCCUAACACUGACGCUGAGGUACGAAAGCAUGGGGAGCAAACAGG